rnacentral:lncRNA from 1 species
UCUAGCUACUCUCAUUCUUUUCUUUUCAAACUUUAGAAGCUUGAGUUCGUUGCCGCUCCUCAAGUCGCCGCCCUUGCUGCCGUCGCUCCUGCCCCUCACUGCUGUUGCUCCUUGCUGUCGUUGCUCCUCUGUCGUUGUCGUCGCUAUCAUCACUCCUUGCUCAUUUUCCGCUACUUUGCCGUCCCUCUGUCAUCACUCAUCUGCUGCUCCUCUAUCGUCCCUCUGUCGUCGCUUAUUCGCCUGUGUUGCCGUCGCUCAUCUGCUGUGGUACUGUCGCUCCUCUCCCCUGAUGCCGUCACUCCUCUCCGUGCCGUGGUUGCUCUGUCUCUAGUCAUUACUUUAAGAAAUUUAAAGAAUAAGAUUUGAACUUUGAAAUCGUUUUCCUAUCUUGACAUCCAUUUGUUUGUAUAUUCAAUUUGGGUCAGAUUUAGUUGUUUAAUUUUUCAGUUUCUAUUGUAAUUUGUGUAUAGUUUUGAAAAUCUAUUAAAUAUUAG